GUGGGGGGUGGGACCAGGGAAAGUUAAAAUGUCACAAAGCUAACUUUUCUUACAGCCAUCCAGCCAUUUUUCUUGAGUAAACUCUCCCCAGGUCAUGGGAAGCUUUUAAUUCUUUUUUUUUUUUAAAUUUCUACAUCCACUUCAGUCACACAAAAUCUUUUGAUUCAUUUCUGGAGAUCUGAAAAAGGUAAUUCUGACCAUUUAAAUAAUUUUUUCAUUGCUUUUAUGGAAGGGUGAAUUUUUGAGGGUCCCUGCUCUGCCAUUUUUGCUGAUGUUACCACCAUCAAGAUUUUCUUCAGCAGGGGUCUGCAAAUCUUUCCUAGAAAGGUACCAAUUGUAAAUGCUUUAGGUAUUGUGCUUCAGAUUGUGUUUGUCACAGCUACUCAACACUGCCAUUGUAGUACAAAAAUAGCCAUUGUAAGUAUAUAAAUAAAUGGCUGUGUUUCAAUAAAACAUUAUGUAUAGAAAAGUCACAGACUGGAUUUGGCCCAAGGAUCAUAUUUUGCCAACCCCUCUUUUUAAAGAUAAAAAACAACCUUAGAAUCCUUCUCAGAC
rnacentral:lncRNA from 1 species